rnacentral:rRNA from 1 species
GCUGACGAGUGGCGAACGGGUGAGUAAUAUAUCGGAACGUGCCCAAUAGUGGGGGAUAGCCCGGCGAAAGCCGGAUUAAUACCGCAUACGACCUACGGGUGAAAGGGGGGGAUCGCAAGACCUCUCGCUAUUGGAGCGGCCGAUAUCAGAUUAGCUAGUUGGUGGGGUAAAAGCUCACCAAGGCGACGAUCUGUAGCUGGUCUGAGAGGACGACCAGCCACACUGGGACUGAGACACGGCCCAGACUCCUACGGGAGGCAGCAGUGGGGAAUUUUGGACAAUGGACGAAAGUCUGAUCCAGCCAUGCCGCGUGCGGGAAGAAGGCCUUCGGGUUGUAAACCGCUUUUGUCAGGGAAGAAAAGCUCCGAACUAAUAAUUUGGAGUGAUGACGGUACCUGAAGAAUAAGCACCGGCUAACUACGUGCCAGCAGCCGCGGUAAU